rnacentral:rRNA from 1 species
UACGUAGGGUGCGAGCGUUGUCCGGAAUUAUUGGGCGUAAAGAGCUCGUAGGCGGCCUGUCGCGUCGGAUGUGAAAGCCCGGGGCUUAACCCCGGGUCUGCGGUGGGUACGGGCAGACUAGAGUGAUGUAGGGGAGACUGGAAUUCCUGGUGUAGCGGUGAAAUGCGCAGAUAUCAGGAGGAACACCGAUGGCGAAGGCAGGUCUCUGGGCAUUAACUGACGCUGAGGAGCGAAAGCAUGGGGAGCGAACAGG